rnacentral:rRNA from 1 species
GACGAACGCUGGCGGCGUGCUUAAUACAUGCAAGUCGAGCGAGGUUACUGCGACAGAUCCCUUCGGGGUGAAGUUGCUUUAGCCUAGCGGCGGACGGGCGAGUAACGCGUGGGUAACCUACCCUAAAGUUCGGGAUAACAGCGGGAAACCGCUGCUAAUACCGGAUGCCUUUACCGUGUGGCAUCACAAGGUAAAGAAAGGUAACACUUUAGGAUGGGCCCGCGUCCCAUUAGCUAGUUGGUGAGGUAACAGCUCACCAAGGCGACGAUGGGUAGCCGGCCUGAGAGGGUGGACGGCCACACUGGGACCGAGACACGGCCCAGACUCCUACGGGAGGCAGCAGUAGGGAAUAUUGCGCAAUGGACGGAAGUCUGACGCAGCGACGCCGCGUGAGCGAUGAAGGCCUUCGGGUUGUAAAGCUCUGUCCUUGGGGAAGAAGGUCUUCGGACUUGACGGUACCCAAGAAGAAAGCCCCGGCUAACUACGUGCCAGCAGCCGCGGUAAUACGUAGGGGGCGAGCGUUGUCCGGAAUUACUGGGCGUAAAGGGUGCGUAGGCGGCCCUUUAAGUCAGAUGUGAAAGCCCGCAGCUUAACUGCGGAAUUGCAUUUGAAACUGGAGGGCUUGAGUGUCGGAGAGGGUAGCGGAAUUCCCAGUGUAGCGGUGAAAUGCGUAGAUAUUGGGGAGGAACACCAGUGGCGAAGGCGACUGCCUGGACGAUAACUGACGCUGAGGCACGAAAGCUAGGGGAGCAAACAGG